UACGUAGGGCGCAAGCGUUGUCCGGAAUUAUUGGGCGUAAGAGCUCGUAGGCGGUCUGUCGCGUCGGCUGUGAAAACCCGAGGCUCAACCUCGGGCCUGCAGUCGAUACGGGCAGACUAGAGUGCUGUAGGGGAGACUGGAAUUCCUGGUGUAGCGGUGAAAUGCGCAGAUAUCAGGAGGAACACCGAUGGCGAAGGCAGGUCUCUGGGCCG
rnacentral:rRNA from 1 species